UCGUUUUAAGAAGUCCCUUGAAGAGGAUGUUGGUUAUCACACCAAUGGGGACUUCCGCAAGCUUUUGCUACCCCUUGUGACUGCCUACCGAUAUGAGGGUGAUGAGGUGAACAUUACACUUGCAAAAUCAGAAGCUAAGAUUCUCAAUGAGAAGAUUUCUGAUAAGGCUUACAAUGAUGAAGAUCUCAUCAGGAUCUUGGCUACAAGGAGCAAAGCACAGAUCAAUGCGACUCUGAAUCAAUAUAAGAAUGUAUAUGGGAAUGAUAUUGAUCAGGACUAAGAGGCUGACCCUAAAGAUGAGUACCUCGACCUACUGAGGGCCACAGUUCAGUGCUUAGUCCACCCUGAACAUUAUUUUGAGAAGAUACUUCAUCUGGCAAUUAACAAACAGGGAACAGAUGAAGGGGCUCUUACUAGAGUCGUCACCACAUGGGCCGAGGUCGACUUGAAGGUCAUAAAAGAUGAGUACCAGAGGAACGGUGUUCCUCUGGAUCGUGCCGUUGUCAAGGACACCUCUGGGGACUACGAAAAAAUGCUUCUGGCACUGUUAGGACAUGGGGAUGCUUGAGUUGUUCCCUAUUUCUUGAAGGAUUGAGAGACAAAUAUGUGUUUUAUUUAUCUAGGUUUGCUGUUGCUUGAGUUUGCAGAGUUCUCCAUCCAUGUUUGAUGAUCGUUUUAUUUUCCGUCUUUUGGUUAUGCCGGUUGAAAAACUUAAUCUAUGAGCGCUUCAGUUAUCUCAUAUAUAUUCAAAAUAAUAUCUGAUUUAUAUAUGCAUCUAAAUGGUGGUUGGUUUGUGAUUAGCAACUUGAUGCUUGAGUGUGUGAUGAUCUAAUUCUAAUGCCCCUGAAGCAGAUGAUGUUGCAAUGUAACAACUUAUAUGGGUAGAAACUUUUGGUUUUGAUAGAAAUAAAAAUUUUUCUUUUGCUUCAUUGUUUUGAGUCUCAUGUGCUAAUAAUGCUUGAUUCAAUUGAUUGGAAAACAAAUUUUGUGACCAGAGUAAUGCCAGUACUGCUUGAAACUAGUUCUGAGUCACAAUGAAAGAUACUUUGGUUGGUGGGUGAAAACUGGAUGUGGAAAGGCAGUAUGUGAAAGAGAUCAGUUACUUAUAAUGAUUUAGUAGCUUACUAUAUGAAAGUCUAACUUGGAAUUCUGGAAUUGCCCUCUUUUUUUUUAUUUGUCAGAGGAUUCUUGUAGUCUUACGUAGUUUUCUCAUUUUAUCUCAUUUGUCUUUCUGCAUUACAUGUUCAAUGAAGUCAUCAUUUUUUAAGCAUUGUGAUUGACUGACUUCAUUGUAUAUUCAUGUACACUAGCUUUUGCUACCCCUUGUGACUGCCUACCGAUAUGAGGGUGAUGAGGUGAACAUUACACUUGCAAAAUCAGAAGCUAAGAUUCUCCAUGAGAAGAUUUCUAAUAAGGCUUACAAUGAUGAGGAUCUCAUCAGGAUCUUGGCUACAAGGAGCAAAGCACAGAUCAAUGCGACUCUGAAUCAAUACAAGAAUGUAUAUGGGAAUGAUAUUGAUCAGGUACCCAUUUGGUCUUUGAACGCUAUGUUUGGCCAGAUAUUUUCUGAAAGCUUAUUUUUCCUCUUCUUUAAAACUUUUGGCUCCGGAUCUUCUUCUAAAAUUUAAUCUAUGUAUCUUUUCUGUGGUAAUUGAGGCCAACUGAUUGACCUCAUGGAUUCUUUUUCGCAUUUUCAAUUAAAAUUUUGAUUUCAACAGUUUGUUUUUACUGUUUAUGAUAGAAUAAAAGAAUAAUUGGAAACCAUUUCAAGAAUGAAAUAAGAUUAUUUGGUAAAACAUUUGUGGUCUUGAGGAGGGCUUUCACCACCUGAUAAGCCAUAUCUCUUUUAGGUUUAUUUUUGACUAAUCGCAUUAGUAUCCUAUUUGCAGGACUUAGAGGCUGACCCUAAAGAUGAGUACCUCGACCUACUGAGGGCCACAGUUCAGUGCUUAGUCCGCCCUGAACAUUAUUUUGAGAAGAUACUUCGUCUGGCAAUUAACAAACAGGGAACAGAUGAAGGGGCUCUUACUAGAGUCGUCACCACAAGGGCCGAGGUCGACUUGAAGGUCAUAAAAGAUGAGUACCAGAGGAGGAACAGUGUUCCUCUGGAUCGCGCCGUUGUCAAGGACACCUCUGGGGACUACGAAAAAAUGCUUCUGGCACUUUUAGGACAUGGGGAUGCUUGAGUUGUUCCCUAUUUCUUGAAGGAUUGAGAGGCAAUAUAUGUGUUUUAUUUAUCUAGGUUUGCUGUUGCUUGGAGUUUGCAGUGCUCUCUAUCCAUGUGUGAUGAUCGUUUUAUUUUCAGUCUUUUGGUUAUGCCGGUUGAAAAACAUAAUCUAUGAUCUUAUAAAUAAGAUGGUGACAGCAUUUGCUAUGAAACUGCCACUUUAUAAAGAGUUUUUUUUUUCGUGUUGAAUGGUUGGUAAAGCAGGAUGUUGUUGCUCCAUUAGUUAUGCCAUUUUAAUUGUAAUGCUAGAAAUAUGAGACAUUCACGUGUUCGAAACUAUUACUUCGUGAAUUCCCCGAGCCAAAAAUUUCAAAUGUACAAUUCAAUUAUUCUGAAAGGUGCAAUCGUUUCUACGAGUCUCAGUUGAAGAGACUUCCAAUGUCUUCUGCCAUUUUCCACUUUGCAGUUUUCGAUUCAUUAAAUUGUAGCAAAUUUCUCAGCAGAGUUUGAAACGUUUAAGUUGAAACUAUGAUCCGAUUAUCCAUCAAGAAAGCUAUCUAUGACAGACGAAUUUAAACCUGCAAAGAGUAAAAGAUUAUUCUGAUGUCGUAUUAACUGGAUUCACAUUGAUCGUUGCUAUCAUAGUCCAAUUAUCCAUCAAGAAAGUUCAGACUGCCACCUCAUUUCUACAUUUUCAUAAACAGACAUGUUUAUAACCAGGCUCAUACUCCUUCUCACCACACAAGCCGCAUCUGAAGUAACUCUAUUUCAGAAACGAGAGGAAAGAUAUCCUGCAUCACAUUUACAGGGGGCCCAAAGCAAAAACUGCGGUUCCAACCUAAUAAAAUAUCAUACAUUCGAAGUUUCAAGACAACAACAUAGACAACAGUGUAUUACAUACACGAGUCAUAAUAAACAACUGGAAGAAAGACACAUUCAGUUUACAAUCUUUUUUAACUCAUGGAGAUCCAUCCACAAAAGCCCCGAAUUGCAAAAUUUCUCAGUAAUGGGACAUCCGCAGCAUCUUCUGAUGGCUUGCUAUCUUACAUCUGACGGCCCAAGAUAGAUUAAGACUUCUUAUUAGUGGUGAACAGAGUAGCAACUUUAGGAGAACAACAACAUUUCUUGCCACAGACAAAUAUACAUCACUUCUUCGAGAUGUUACGCGAGAAGAUCCUCUUGCAAUAAGGGCUGGUGCGUAAAUUAGUAUGUCGUCUAGCGGCUUCAACGAGCGAAGCAUGAAGAGGACCCUGCUUCAGACAAAUGAAAACAAAACAAAGAGGGACUGCUCAGCAAUUUAAAACAAUACUAUCAAGGCAGAAAAGUAAACCAGAGGAUCUCUCUCUCCAAACCUUGGUCACUGACAAAGCACACUGAAUUACAUAAUUGGCGAAUGGAUCUUGCAACAACUGUUCGAAGUGAGGCACAGAAAGCAAUUCAUGGACAAUUUGAGAUCGACUUUCUCCAAAAUGCUUGAGGCAUUUUUCAACCACGUGGCUGCUGAAUUUCUGUGUUGAGAGAUGCACAUAAUGUCCUUUGAACUGCGACAGCAAGUUGGCACUGACAGAAGGGAUCUUUAGCUCUAUUAUAUAUUGUACAACAUAAUUUCUGUGACAUAAAAACAAAAGAGGUCCUGAGUCAGAGACAAAAGAUAAAAUUAUGGUACAGAUACCUGUUAGAACCUAUCACUUCUAAGACUAAAUUAUGAAUCAGACAAGAUGAUUUAACUUAGGACAUGUAAAUGAAUCAAUCGAGAUGAUAUAGGAUGUCCUACAAGCCCAAGAGGAAGUCAAUAAAGGAGAAAUUAAGAUGCCACAAAUGCUAGGGCCAGAAAGGAGAAGAGAAAUGAAUAAGGAAAGUUAACAAAAUAUACCAAACCAUAAAAUGCACCAUUCAGUCAAACUUAUUCUGAAUUUUCAAAUAUACUUAAGAAUCAGAUGCCCAUUUUUUCACCAACAUAGCAAGGAUAAUGAUCAUGCUUCAUUAAUUUAGGGUGAUGAUAUGAAGAUAAAAAUGGAACACCAAGACUGUGAGCAAAAGGCAAAAAUAUAAUUUGUCUUUCAAUUGGAAUGGCAUAAUACCAUCAUGAGACCUCAAACAGUCACUAUGUUUAGGGAAGCCAUAAUAAGCAUACAAAUGUUAACAUGAUAGUACUGCCUAAAUUCUCAUCAUGAAAAGUUUCACUCUUACAAACAAAAACAAAAACAAAAACAAAAAAUAUUGAGAAGGAAAGGCCAUGCUCUGAAGAAAUUCUUGGUGUAAACACGAAAUGAGAGUGAGCUACUCAUCCAUCAGACACCCUUCUAACAGUGAGUCCAUGAAAAGAAAGAAAGUAUUCUAGAUGAUAAUAAAGUCUGUCAAAGUUGAGGUAGCAAAUAUAACAAAAACGGAUGGGACUUCGUUACAGGCUACCUUUAAUAACCACGGCAAUAUGCUGAUUAGUGAAACAUUCAUCAAUAAGAGUUUUAUGAUGCAAAAAACUGAAAAUUAACUAAAACUACGCUUUGGAACUCAUAUGUACUCUACAUGAAACGAUGGGGUGCCCUUCCUACAAAAUAUAGAAGGGUAGAGACCGCCAAAAGUUGUCAUAAAAAAAGAAGGAUCUAUUUUUUAAAAUUUAACUGUCCCUGAUUUUUCCAUUAGGAAUCAAAACAUACUUAUUUAAAUGACAACUAUUUGGUGGAAUAAAAAGAUUUAUAUUUUUUUAUUAAGAAUAGCCUCUUCAAUUAAGCUAAGCUUUAAUUAAAACAAUGAGGUGAGUCAAAGAAAACAUCGAGGACCAGAACAAUGUGAUUAAUCAAAGAAGUAGUUAUCCCAGGGUAAGAAAACAUUACUUUGUAUUACAAAUCCUAUCAAGAGUUUGAGAGUAAAGAAGAAUUAGUGAACAUGAGUGAUUACCCAAAAGGAUCUUGAGCAAGGUGACGCCCAUUCUUGGAAAUUUCAGUGAUCAACUUAUCCCGAUGUCUCCCAAUGGAAUGAGCAAUGCAUCGUUGCAAUACACAACAGCCAUGCUGAUGAGUAGCUAUGUCAACGCAAAACUUUGCAGCAGCAUCAAAAAUAAACUGCAACACACAAUGACAGGUUAUUAAAAAGAUUAAAACAGGUUUCAAAUAUUUGUUGGCAAAUUAUUGAAGGGCCUGCAGAUAUAUUUUAAUUAAAAAUAUUUGCCCAGACAAAAUCUACACUGGUUUAAUAAAUUGCUUAAAGCAGAAAUUAUUCCCAACAUUUUUGAGAGAAUGAUACAUGCUACUUUCAUAUAUAUUCUGGGAACAUAAAUUCUUUGGUCAAGUUUAAGUUCAUCAAUUACUGAGCUGGAUCUAAGACAAAUAUCAUCAGCAUCAGAUUAGAUUUGAAAUGGAAUCUAGUCGUCACAAAUUUGCCUAGCUGCCAUUCUAAAUACAAUUAGAAACUCCACAUGAUGAGGCAAUCUCCAAGAAAUUAUGAGUUGGUCAAGCAUUAGUUUCUCUUCCAUGGCCUACAACUGCAUGUAUGGUCUCAUACACACAAGUUUAUAUCUGCUUCAUUCCACUUGGUACAAGCUAUAUCUCCAUGCACGUGUGCAUCUAUCUAUUCACCUAGAGACAAGCACCAAUUGAUGACCAGAACUUGCUGGUGCUAUUUUAAAGUCACCCUCAUACCAAAAGCCAUCUAUCGUACAAAGUGGCAGGAGAGAUCUGCUAAUCAAACGAAAGAUAAUCAUUACCUCUAAGGUUCCAGUUUAAGAUGAUGCUAAUUCACUAACAAUUUGCACUCUAAGCAAAGUUGCAGAUUAGAAUAAUUCUUGAUUCCCAGAUUAUUAACUUGGACAACAUUUGACCAAUCCUCUUUAUGAUUUUCCAUUCUGCGCUGACCCAGUGAUAAUCAUAAAUGUGUUGGUUCAAUAUUUAGAAAACUUCAAAGUACCAAGAUAGGUUGUCAAACCGAGAUAUAUUCCUAACAUUAAUAUAAUGGCAACAGGCUCAAAAUGUCAACAGAACACAAAAAACCAUGAUAUAUUGGAAUUGGAUGGAGGGUAAACUUGAAAGAACAUGACAAGCUAAAAGACAUAAACUAAUAAAGGAGGUUGAUAGUCAUAAAUUUCAACACAGAGGCAUGAAAUAAUAUGAUCAUCUCUAAAAUUGAAUUGGCAUUAAUUUAGAAAGAAAUAUUUGUAAUUUUGGUCCAUUGAUUAGAAACCAUGACUGGAAAACUUCCUGAAGUACCAGGCUAAGGUCAAACCAUUCAAGGAACGGAAACUGCACUUAAUACUCUGGAAACCACUGAUAGAGAGUGACAUUAUAUGACUUGAAAGUGAAGUAAACAUUUCCGUAAAGAUCAGUUGAUUCCUAGCUAGUGAUCAAAUAAGUUCCUUGUGCCUGGCCAAUGUAAAGCAGGAUUUCUGUUGCUGACCGAGUAUACAUAUGAGAUUAACCUGUCGUCAGUUGAUUGGCUUUUAAUUGACAGUCAUAGGCAUGUUACAAUAAUUAUAUAAAGGAUGGUUUGAUUACCCUUAAAUAACCAUUUCGCUUAUGCCUCCAAUGCAGGCAUGAAGCAGAAUGGUGAAAAGAUCAAUAUAGGCCACCAAGAUACUAGUUCUAUGCUCUGAGUGACACUGAUAUGAUCUAAUGCAAAUGCAUAAGAUCCAUAUCACAAAUUGAUGUAGGAAGACGUCAAUGAGAAUGACCACCCAAAUUCUAGAGUCUUUUUUUAAGAAACAGCAUACCAAAAUAUCAAAUGCUAUAGAUAAGGAGAUUAAAUAACAUUUGAUCUUAAGAAAUUAACAUAACUCUCAUUUUACUAAAGAAAUGUAGAGAAAAAACUAUACCUCAUUAUCUUCAUUGCUAAGGCAUUGCAAGCAGCGUUGUAAAACAUGAUUGCCAUUCAAAUCCUUAAUAAGAUCAAGAAAGCCAGGUUUGAGUGCUGCUUUGACCAGCGAAAUCUGCUGCCUAGUUUUUAGAGUCUCAAUCAACUUCUGCACCACCCGUGUGCUGGUAAUCAUAACACCAAAUCACCAAUUUAUUUGGAAAGAACCAAAAAAUUGCAAGAACAGUCAUUUGAAAAUUAUCAAUGAGCAGUGCAGCUAUUAAUUCAUGUACAAACAAUUUACCCAUAUGUGUUUAAGCAAACUCUGACAAGCUGUCCUGGUUCUUCAGUUACCAUUAGCAGAAUCCGCGUCAUUUGUUCUUCAGUGCACACAUUGAGCAACUUCUGCACAAGGUAAUUGCCAAACUGCUCCAUCAUAAGCUCAACAAUAUGAUCAACGACCUCGUCAAAUAUAAUUUGUAAAUCUAGAAAGGUUCCCUCAUCAAACACCCUUUGUAAGAACCGACAACCAUUUUGAUCCUUUGCCAUCGAGUAUAUAUAACCGCGGACAUCAGCCAAAGAACUGGAACUUGAUAGCAAAUGCAAUGGACAACGAAUAUCCAUUAAGCUCUGACCAUUAUCACAAAUUACUCCAUCAUAAGGACAACCAUCAUGUUUACAAAUUUUCACCGGUUGGUUUCUUGUUACAAUCUCAUUGAGAUUGUUCUGCUUGUAACCCUUCAAUGAAUCACGUCCUUUGCUGGCAGCUUGAUUAAUACUUCUUCCUUGUAUGAUGAAACUAUCUUCACAACCAAAACCCUCUAUAGCACCAGCACCGUUGACAGGCAUGAAAGAUUCUGAAACCCUGUUGUUUGUCAUUGCAUUAGUCCUCCCUUUCAACAUUGAAUGAUUAUACAACAGAGUGUCCAAAUCUAAAUCAGACUCAGUUUGCACCAGCUGACUGGAAAACAAAUGAUUCAUGACACCAAUAUCUCGGUUAGAAUCCAAUCCAAGUUGCUGUGCUCCAACGAAAGCAUCAUUAACAUAAGACCUACUAAUUCUAGAUGGAUUUUGUAACCAAGUACCCGCAUUACUCCAGCUCCUCCCCUGUUCCAUUCUCUGCUGAAGGUACUGAUGCCUUAAACUACUAUAACUUGGACCGAAACGAAAAUCAUUAGAAUGAUCGAGACAAAGACCAAAAUUAGACUCCUUCAAGUCACCCUCACCGUACUGCCCACCAAAAGCAGUCAAUAAAGACUUCCUUUCAUCAUCAAAACUCUUAGAAACUGCAGUAUGAGAGGAACUUAAUCCUUGAUAAUCGGAAACAACGUUGUUAAGACCAUCAAAUACCCUAUAUUUCUCGACAUUAUAAGGUACACCAACGCUCCCUCCCAAAGAAGCAUCACUAGUAAAACCAAAGCGAACCCCAAGAGGGUCCACGAUAUCAAGCCUCUUCAAUUUAGCACUAUGAUCCAAGUGCUCCUCUCCAACUCCUCCAAUAUUCAUUCUGUAAAGAUUCUCACACAAACCCGUUUCAUAGUCCAAAGCGUCAUUAACAUUCCCCCUGUGAAAACAAGAAUCAGUUGAUUUGGCAUCCCACAACAUAUCAUUAAAACAAUCAGUGGCAGCACCGCCACGUGCCUUAUACUUGUUAGCAUUCUCAACACUGUCAUUAUAGAGAACAUUGUUUGGUUUGGAAAAAGGAGAAGCAUCAUCCUCAGAGAAGCAACAAAACCCAGUGUUAGAAAAACAAGAACUUGAAGGAGAAGAGUGCUCUGUUGUAGAUUGCAGAGACACUCUACUAAAAGGUGACCCACCCACAAGAUUAUGAUGUUGAUGUUGAUGUUGAUGAUGAGCAAAACUCAGAGAUUGAUUUUGAGUUAUCUCAUUCAACAUCCUCCCAAGCUCAUCCUCCUCUCUUCUCAUCCUUUCUUUUAUCACUCUCUUUUCCUCCUUUUCGGCUUGCUUAUCCAUCGUCUCAACAACAACAACAGCAGCAGCAAUACUAUUACCACGUUACUAAAUAUGAAACGCAAAAACACACACGAAACAACGUCAGAAAGCAACCAAAACACCUACAUACGAAGAGGAUAUUUUAUAUUUUGGCUUUCGUUUUUUUUUUUUUUUUUUCCUUUUCCCCCCUCUCUUUUCUGUUUUGAGUACGCAAAUGAGAGAGUGAGAGAAAUGUUUUUUUUUUUAUUUUUUUUUCUGGUUUGAUACAGACGGUUAUACAAAAGUGUAUGCGCCGUACGGGCGGCUGUCGCUCGCCAUGAAAAUGAAGUCGAGUGUGCACACACCACCUUGCGCUGAAUAAAAAGCAGAGAGCGAGAAUGAGAGGGGAUCUGACUAGGAAAUUUCUUUUAUAUAUUAUAUUCUUUAAAAUAUAUAUAUAUAUAUAUAUAUAAACUGAGAUUUAAAUAUAAUUAUUUUGUUAAUUAACUAGUUUAAUUUUGAUCUUGUUAGUUAUAAGUAUCUUUUAAGCUAAACUGAAUCCUAACCUCUCUGCUCGAUUUUCUCUUGAUAUUUUUGACCGGCACCAAUCGAGAUCGGGAUCUUUAACAUUCUGAAACCCACGCCAAUGGAAAUCAAAUGAAAAAUCGUUUUGAGUGUUGAUCGAUCAGACGGUUAGGAUUGUAUUGUUUACACUGAAGCCGGACUCAGCUGAUAAAUAAAUAAAUCUCGCAAUGCAAGCCGUUUCUCUGUUGUAUAAUCCUAUUUCAAUCCACAUCUACCGUCACUUCCAAUUACGUAACCUAAAUAAAUCUCGGGCACUGAUGACUCAUGAUUCAUGAGUCAUGAGUCAAACAAAUGGGCAAUGAUACAGAAAUGGUCGAGUACCACAUUGCCACUUGGCCGCUGGUUUCUUGUCACCCAAGACAUCUGGAAGAGAAUUUCAUUCAACUUUGCCCUCGCGAACCUUUUUAUGACAAUUUGAAGAGCCAAUAGGAUUUGUACCAAAGCAAAUAGAGGACCGAACCAAUUGAAAUAAGUCGUGCGAAAGGCUACACAAUUUUUCCAAUUAUAGCUAAGCAAAUUAAUGUUCCAACUUUGUCCUUUGUCCACCGAAGAAAGGAACUGGAAUGAUGAUGGCUUUCCAACUCAAUUUUUUUUUAUAUAAAGUAAACGGGGAACCAGUCGUCGAUCAUAUUGGUAUAAUGGUGAGGGAGGGAGGGAAUGAAUAUUUUGCAUAUUAAUUAAUAAUUUGACAGGGAAAGCUAACUUAGCUCUUGAAAAUUCGAAAUUAAUUCCUCGGCGGAAAAAACCACUUGGGCUAAGCCCAAGUGGCCAGAGUCACUCCCUCACAAAUGUGAGGGAAGUGGUUCGAGCCUCCGCAGACGCAUUGUAGGGGUUUGAUUUCAAUUUCUUUCCUUAGAGCCUCAGAGCUUGAGUGAAGACAGUCUUUCUCCCAGAAUGGGAGUUGACGUCCCUCGAAUAUUUGAGAGGGUUAAAAAUCUGAGCGGUACCAUAUCAGAAUUGAUGUAAACGAGUCUCAGUAUAUAUAUGAUUGUAAAUGUCAUCAUGAGCAAUAGUUCUCGUUCAAAAAAAAAAAAUUCCUAGGCGGAAAAGCAAAAAGCCCCCAAAUAAUAUAAUAAACUAAAAUGGUCGCAAUUCAGUAGUAAUUCACCAUAUAACUUCUCAGAGAAGGUAAUCAAUCAUGAGACCGGGAUUCUGUUGCGAGUCCCUUUCUUCCCCUUUUUAGUGUUUGACUAGUGACAUGCAGGUAUACUUUAUUUAAAGAAUUAAGAAGGAAAAAAAAAGACCGCGUUUUAUAUUUAUGAUGCAAUGGAGAGCAAACAAGCCUUCCUUUGAAAGUUCCCAGCCGAUGCGGAUUCGGCGAAUUUGCUUGCUAUUCACGUCAAGUGAAGGGGCUAAUAAAAAAAAAUCCUGCUGUAUUUUUUUUUUAUAAAUAUUUUUGAAGGAAACUUUAAGAAAGAAAGAAAAAAAUAAAAAAAAAAGAUAAUUACCGCUGGCCGUUACAUGAUAAUGGCGGAUAGGCGAUAGCUGUAGACGACAAGCAGUGGUGAAAAAUUUACAUUCAAGUCCUUGUCACUCGGCAAUACUGCAGUAGCACGCACAAAACAAAACCAUAGCCUAUAUAUAUGAAAUAUGUACAAUAGCUGUCCUGUCUAGGUGGCUGCUGCAAGCACGCAAGUUUGUUACAUCGUUAAAAAUUUACAGCCAUGGUCGAGCCCCGAGCUAAAAUAACUUCUCUCUAUUCAGCAAUUACGAUUCAAGUUUAAAGCCAUUAAAGGAUUAACUAAAUAAUAAGCUUACUUUUUUCUUCUUUUUCGUAUAUUCGGGCCUAAUGCAAAGUCUUUUACUUCUUGGCCAAUUUGAGAUUGUUUUUGAGAGCUUAAAGGUGACUUUAAAGUUAAAAACUAAUUUUAGUAUUUAGUAAUUUUUUUGAAAAAUCACUUUUGGUAAAAUCAGUUAUUCUUUAGUAAAUUUUGAAAAGUAGGAAAGGAAUUUCUUUUCGAAAUCUGAUUUUAAGAAUUAAUUUUACACUGAUGAUUACAGUUCCAUGUAUAUUUCCACAUAUUAUAUAAAAAUCCAAAAUUAUCCUUAUUCAAUUAUGAAAUUAAAUGAAGAAAUUUAAAGAGAUUAAUAUUGUUACCAAUAAUAUUGAGAUGACAAAAAAAAUUAAUUAUUAUUAUUUUAAUUAUCAAUUAUUAUAUAUAAACAAUAAAUUUUUUUUAUAUGUUUAUAAAUGUGUAGGUAAACUUUUAUUUAAUAUUGUAUCUAUUUCAAUCAUUUGUAUUUUUAUAGCAAUUUAACAAUAAGAUUUAUAAAAUGUAUACCACUGCUUUUUAGAACUUAAAAAAUUUUGAAAAUAAAUUUUACUAAACACUUAAUUGAUUUUCUUCAUAACUAAAUAUUUCUAUAGUACACCUGACAUCAAUUGUUUUAAAAGUUACAACAUUACUAAAUUAGCCAUUUAUCUCGAGCAAAGACAUAAGUUACAUGGGCUUAAACCAUGGGUGGAAUCAUGCCAAAAAUAAUAAGAGCACCAUAAUUUAAUUUUCCUUUACCUUUAUGUGCAUUGAAACAUAUAUUUUCAACAAUUAAUAUCAUAAUAUGCAAUACUUGAUUUUAAAAGUUUAAAAAAAUAAUAUUUUAAUCCGGAGAGAUCCCUUAACUUAAAUUCUUUACUUAGAACUAUGUCUAAAUUGUGUUGUUUAUUGGAAUCUACUUAAUUUAAUGAUAAGGACUUGAAAAAUAAUGUUUAUAUCUUCGUUCAUCUAUCAUUAGAAUCCACACAUAUUUAAUAAGGUUAGGUUUUUUUUUAUUUAAAAUUUUGAUACAAAUCUUAAGCUAUUGAUUUCAAUAAUUCAACGAUAGAUAUUAAAACUUAAAGUAUCAUUUAGUGAUGGUUAUUCAUCCACCAUUUGAUUGCUUGAAAUCAAUACCUCAAAAUUUAUAUCAAAAUUUCAAGUUAAAAUAACCCCACUCUAUUUAAUAUUAUCAACUCAUUUAUCACCACCAAAUUUUAUGAGUUCAAUGGUUUAAAAAUUGUAUUUCCGAAGUUUAAAAAAAAUUAAAUUGAUUUAUCCCUUCCCGAGGGAUAGUUAGGAUUACUUUUAACUUGGCCUCUAUAUACAUUUUUUUUAAUUUCUAUUAGCUUGAAUUGAAACACAAAUUUUCUGUGAUGGUUAUCAUAUACAAAUUGAAUAGGGGAUAAAUAAAGAGAAAAAUAGUAUUUGAUGUUACUAACUCAUAUAUUACAUAACAACUAAAAAGAAAAUGAAACAAUAAAGCUACGUCCAUCACCAAGAGAACUACAUCUAAAAUAAUAUUCGGAUAGUUGAUUAUGCAAUGAGUUACUUCAAAAAUUGUGAUUCUACUUGGUAGUGUUGCCAGAUCAGGAUUCUCUCAUGAUCUGAUCAUGUUCUGACCAAACUAAUUAAUUGUUGAUUGGUUGUUAAUAAAUAAAAAAAAAUAAAGAAGUUAAAUCUUACCCAUACACUACCACUAAAAGACACAUGGCAAAAGAUUUUAAAAAAAUCAGUAUAGCUCAGAUCAGGAGAGGAUCAUGUUCCAGUGUUGCCAUCACAUGUCAGAUUUAUAAUAAAUGUUGGGACAUUUAAUAUUACUUUAAUGAUAAUAAUAUAUUAAAAUUUAUGAAAGUUCACAAUUCACUAUAUGGAUAACACAUUGUUUAAGAUAAAAAAUUUGUGAUAAAAUUUAAGACAUCUAACUAUAAAUCUCAAAUAAAAUAUCAUUUGCUUAAAUAACAUAUCACAUGCUCUUAAAAAAUGACACAAAAAAUAUAAGAAAAAUGUGUCUAAGCAUAAUUAUAAUUUUAGGCUUCAAUCUUCAGUUCUUCACACAGUAAGCAGACAGAUGAAAUCAGAGAGAGGUCACGUAAAAGGAGAGGGUUGUUUGACCGAGACAGAGAGGCACCUAUUGUAGAGAAGUUGAUUUUGAAAAUUGAAAGAGAUGGUUCUAGUAUAAAGGUCGUUUUAAUAACAAAAACAAAUUAACGAGGAGAAUUAUAUAUACUAGAGUAUUAGAGUAUCUUGUAGUGUGUGUAUAGUCCUUCUCUAGUAAAAAUAUUAUUAAAAUACAAAAUUUAAUAUAUUAAAAACUGUAUUUUUUGUUUGUUGGUGAAUUAAAAUCUGAUUUUUUUUUUUUGGUUUUUUAAUGCCCUUACAUAUGGAGAGUAAUUAUGUAAACUAGUAACCAUUGGAUUGAAUGACAUAGAUGGCUAAAAAUUUAUGCUAAAAUUUUUUAAUUCAAUGUUGAAGUUAACAAACUAAUUUGAAUUCUAAUUGUACGUGUAACUCAUUUAUUAAGUAAUGAAUGUCGAUAACAUGUUAGAUUAAUAUUCUAUUAUCGGAUAAUUAAAUGACACAUCUAUUAAAACUUAAAUUUAGACUCAAAUGCUAACAUAAAAUGUAAUUUAUAAAUUACAAGUUAAUAUCCGAAUUAAAAAACAUGACUUCUGAUUUUUAUAAAUUAAAAUGUGAAGUGGUAAAGUGUGACAUGACAAUUGCAUUUGUAACUGCUGCACCAAUACGCUGUAGUUAUUUUGUAGAAGAACCUUGAAGACUUUAAACAUCCCCUUCUGCAUGGGCCGACAAGACCGGGCCAUUCAUUGGUUUGGAAAGGUUCGGAAACAUGCUGAAAAUAAAACGUAUCGAGCGACUUUGACUUGCACAUUUAACGUGGAUACACGUUAAAGCUGAACAAAUUUGGAACUUGAAAAAAGUCUAGAAUCAUAAUGUAUCACUAAUAAAUAAAAUUGGACAUGGUAAGCAGGCGACAGAUUUCACUAGAACAAGCACUGAAAAGCACAAGAAUAUGGACAAACAAACCGAAUUAGGAAGAAAGUCCAUAGCUCAGGCAACAUGUUAAAAACCCUAAAUAGAACAAGAUUCCCAAAACCCACAAUGGACGGUCAAAUAAUAUAAUCACACACCCUUACUACGAUGAAUAACACAACACCAGACAGGGUAGAUAAAAUAACUCAGUUAGACCUAACAAGUUAAACCAAGGCAAUGCUGCUCUCGCCGCCUGGAGGCUUGCGUACUCCGCCCAGAUAGUCUCGAGACUCUACCUUACCAUCAGCAAAAAUGUUACUGCCACUCAUCUCCCGUAGUUUUGCUACACUAAGUGGCUUCUCGGCAGAUGAUGGAGGAACAUCACCCUUGAAUAUGUCAUUUCCUGAUAGCUCAGAAAAUUUCUUAUCGUAAAUUUUCUUUGAUGUCUUCAUCACAGGUUCCUCAGUUGAACUUAUGCUGCUCUGGUCUCCAGCAGGCUACAAAGUUAAAUCCAGGGUCAAAUGCAGUUAGAUACUUGAAUUCCAUUAAAAUAAACGCACAGAGCCAAAAAAUAGACAUAGAUAAUAAUAAAGAAGCAGAGAAUCAAAGAACUGGAAAAACGGCAUGAAAAGCAAGCAUAUAUUGCAGUUGGAACUGAAAAGGGCAAAACCACAAGUCCAUGUGCAAUUUGUGCCACAGAUACUUCAACAACAAAGGUUAAGGCAAAGAAUAUAAUCAAUUAAAACAUCCUAGCAGACAAAAUUACUACUGGGCACUCAAUGCAAUCUUCUUAACCCCUCCAAAAGAAAACACAAUGUUAUGAAUGGCUUAAUGGAGCCUAAAUAUGGCAUAACUUCAAUUUUUUUUUAGGAAUAAAUCUAGAAGUUUUUUUAUUCUUUUCGUCUUUUAUAAGAAAAUAUAAACCAAGAAGUUGUUCAAUCAAUGUACUUGGCUCAUGCAUGAUCUCCUAUGCAACCUCUCAAUUUAAUCCUAAAAUUUCCACGGCAAGGGAAGGAGGGGCAGGGCAAGGGGAACUGAGAAGGAGAACAAAGAAAUAUGUAUAUGUAUCCAAACAUCACUCACAGUAAGGACUCCGACAGAUGUUUGUACAUCUUGUGGAGCAGAGUCUCCCAAGUUGAAGUUUUCCUUCAAUGCCAAGGCACGCACUGCUGGCCGUGGUAAAAUUUCUGGAGGGGGUGCAAAGAUAUCAUGUCCGCUAAGCUCCUUGCUCUUAGCAUCAGAAAUCUGCUUCUUCAACUUUGCCUCUGACUCACUUUCCAGUGUCCCACUAAGCUCACGCUGCUUAGCCACCUCAGGUAGAGUAGUAGGUUUUUUGGGUGAAAUGCUAUCUUCCUCACCAAACGAGAUAUGACUGAUUCCAGCAAUUGCUUGCUAACAAUUCCAAGCAUCACCAUAGAAAAUAGUCAGUUUAAGCCGACAGAAAUUCUUCAAAUGCAAGAAUUAAGAUACCUGAUACAUCCGUAGUCCCGUUUUGUUAUUUGGAGUAGGAUUUGCACUACCAGAUUCUGAUUCAUCAUUUUCCGCACCAGCUGCAAAAAUGCCACUACCAGUCAUCUCCUUCAUUUUAUACCCUGAACAAGGUUUCCUGCAAAGUAGAACAUCAAUGGUUUUAGUCUUAGGUCGUUUAAUACUCUCAUAAAAACAGAACCAAAUAUAGAGAGAUAAAAAGUUUAUUUCACUUAAAUAAUAAAAUACAGAACUUUAUAUUAACAGAGCCAUCUAAUUCAGUUAUUUGCACCAAAGUUGCUGGAUCGAGCUGAAACUGAUAUUUAAGGACACACUAACCCCCCUCCCCAAAAAAAAAGAAGCAUUUAUGGAAAACAGAAACAAGUUUAUGAGCAUUCCAUCUCAUUUUUGCUAAACAAUCGACUAUCACUUCUCCGUGCCUUGAUGUUUUAAGCUUUUAAAUGGCCAGCCAUACAAUUGCAAACACUAAAUUGGAACUAUCUGACAAAUUGGUAAAAAAUUGAUACGUAGUUGUAUUGGUUUCUUGUUUCCUGAUUGAUAAAUGCCAUUUUGGACUACUUAGAAAACAUACAUUUCUAGUCCAUAAGUGAAUCUUCCCUAGUGAAAAUUCUGUCUAAUACUGAUUUUCAUCAAACCUACUAAUAUUAACGAGGAUACCACAGCCAGAUCUCCUUUGAUAGAUCUAAAAUCAACAGGAUUAAUCAAGCUAAAUCUAAUUAGUAAUGCUUUUUCAUCAUAAAUUGAAACAUCUAAAAGAUUAUAAGUUUCAUGCAAAUUUAAUAAGGAGUAUAUAUAUAAUCAUAAGUUCACAAGCAAUAUUCAAAGUCAAAUCCAAGUAAAAAUCGAAAGACCGUUGCAGAAAAAGACAAGUAAAACAUUAAUGGAAACCAAAAUCCAUGACGACUACAGACAAAGGACAGAACAAACAAAACAAAUGCGUGUAUAUUUCAGCAAAACAAAACAACACAAAACAAAACAAAUUUUAGGACCAUCUAUACGCAUUUAUUAUCCAUUAAAAAAAUUAAAAGUAAAUAAAUAAAACUAAAUUUGGAAUGAAUAGCAGAUCUCACCUUCUGUUUAAACUCUCAACUUCCUCAUCCGUCACCUGACCCCCAAAAACCACUUUACUGAUCCCAUCCGACGGCUACAGUUGCACCACGUCAACCAAAGUCGUAAAAAAUAAGCAGACGAAGUUGUAAAAAAGCAACAAAAUCAAAAAAGAAAAUGAGCUUUACUUGUCCGCGUACGGAGGAGCGCGUGGAGGAGGCCUGAGCAGGGGAAUCAGACGGUGGAGUUUCGGACCAAACGAGCAGAUCUGCUGUUGAUGUGUGCGGUUUCCUCACCGGAGUGCUUCUCUCCAUUUCAAUAAUCAAAUUACUUAUCCAAAAAAUAGUACAAAGAGCCGCUCUUCUUCAACAAGUUUUCUGUACAGCACACUGUGUCUGUGGACUGUGGCUCUGUUUUAGGCCGAAGAGAAGGAGAGAAAAAAAUGAAGGAUGGAUUGAAAUGACGAAAGUGUCCUCGUGAUCUGGAACUUUCUUGCUUUAAAGUUUAGCUUUUGGGAGUGAUGAUGAGUGAGAAGAGAGCUUAUUUAGCUUCAGCCUUGGAUCAUAGAAUUAAGGAGUAGCUGCUACUACAACUCUCUUUUUUUUUUUUUUUUGUUGUUCUGUUUUUAAAGCAAAGAAAGAGAAAAUUUUGAAAUAUUAUUAUAACCGUCGAGACUCUCACUCCACUGACACUUCGAAACUUAAUUUCAAGUUUCUCUCUCCACUACAGAAUUUGAAUCUUGUACCGCCCUCAAUUGAUUUCUGAUCUGAUUGUUUCUGUGCCACGCAAUCCACCGGCAAGUGCCCGUUGCCUUGGACGAUUAACCGGCUGGUCCCUAUGAAAUUACCCAAAUAACCCUGAUAAUUGAUUUUGCAUUGUUUAGCUCAUUUAUCCUCCGCGUCGAUGACUUUAGAUAUCCAAUUUUUGUCAUUUUAUUUCCCGUUAGGCUAAUCUCUAAUUCAACUAGAUAUUUAGACGCCAACUUGAUGCGUUUUGUUUCGUGUGAACUUGAUUUUAGUAAUUUUACGCGUAACAUUGUGCAAAUUGCAUAAGAUAACUCUCGUGAUUUAAGGUGACCAAAGCUAAAAUAAGUAUUAUUUCUUCUUUUUUUUCUGAGACCCAUGUUUUGAUAGAGAUGCUCUCCUCAUUGCUACUCCAAGAAACUGCAUCAUCUUCUUUUUCAUACCCAUGUGAGUAAAGCAAUCAAAUUGUUGGCUCUGAUGCCAUUUUCCUCUAGAAACAACAUCAUUUUUUUGGUGGGGGCAUUAUACCAAGUUUCACGUGUGGUGAAUAUGGCAAUCCUUGCACAAGUGAUGAGUGAAUAUCAUUUCAUCAUCACUCAUAAAACUGCAUCAUCUCCUCCCGUAAUUCCUCCUCUUUUUGACUUUUUGAAAAAUAUUUAUUAAUUCAUACAGAUAAAUGGUUGGUAAAUUUUAAAAAACAAUUAUUAAAUGAGUUAUGAAUUCAAACAAUUAGAUUUGGCUUAUCCAUAAAGAAAAUCAAAACAUUAUAUUUAAAUAAAUGCUCUUUAAAGGAUAAUUAUGAAUCAGGUAAAUGUUGCGUUGUUGGCUAAAAGGGUAUGGACAGUCAUUUUGAGAGUAUUGACGUCACAUAAUGUUAUGUAUACAUAUAAUUUGUUCGUUUGAGUAGUUUAUACGGAACUUGGCGUAGUGAUAAAGUAAUUCGCUGGACAAGACAAUCUCUUAACUUGCAUCUCGGCUUCCAUUGCGGGAGUUUGGACAUUUUAAAUUCUUAGUUUUGGUAAUUUACAAGGAAGUCCUUGUAUAUGCAGAGAACUACUUUUAGUACCCGGUCCCAUUGCAGGACUUGCUCAUCAUUCAUCAUUCAUCAUUCAUCAUUCAUCAUUCAUCAUUCAUCAACUCCACCUUCAUCUUCAUCUUCAUCUCCACCCAUCAGUCAUUACCCAAAGGUGUCAACUCUUCACAUUUUAAAAGAGAGAUGUCUAUUUUACUCACAUUGAAUAAUGCCUUCACUUAAUUAUAAUAAGAAAUAAACCCCUACAUGCGUCGCAGCGGUCUACUUUACUCACAUUGAAUAAUGCAUUCACUUAAUUAUAAUAAGAAAUAAACCCCUACAUGCGUCGCAGGCCUCGAACCGCUGCCCUCACAGUUGUGAGAACAAGGCUCUGCCCACUUGACCAAAGGCCAAGUGGUUUUUUUUUUUAAAUUUCUAAAUGAUAGUCUAAUUGAUUUCACAUUUUACAAUAGAAAUAAUAGGUCAAGAGUAUAAAUGUACCGUAUGUAUUUAAUAUUAGGUGCAUGAAAUCCAUUUACAAAAAUCGGUAGCAAAUUUACAAUGACAGAAAAACAUUACCACAGGGAGAGGAGGGGACAUAGAAUAGAAGAUGAAUUUUAAUAAAUUAGUAUUUGAAAAAACAAAUGAAAAGUGGACCCAUUAGCAUUACAAAGCGUGGAAAAUAAUAAUGUGUCCGACAUUGCAAAUGCAACCUAACUUGCCACAUGCCCAACAAACGAACGAAACUGCAGAUUCCUUAAAGCAGCUAUAACGUCGGCUUUCCUAGAUUUUUAUAAUGUUUUUUUAUUUUUAUUUUUUUAAUAACAUCGUCCUCUCUUAAUUGAAUAAUAUUUCAUUUUUAUGAAUCCUCAUUGUCAUCGAACCUGUAACUACUACUACUAUGAUAGGUUAUGUCAUUGAUUAAUUAAACAUUGUCACCCCCAGUUGUAUCAGAGUGCAAGGACCACCUUUUUUUAUUUUUAUUUUAAUACAACAUAAAUUAGUGCUAAUUAAAUGUAUAAUCUUGUAUCAGUCAGGAACUUGUAAGAAGAGUGUUGCGUUGGAGGAUUUGUCUAAGAAUAUUAUGGUUGCCGGUAAUCUCACGUCUUGUAGGGAAUAUCAACUGUAUUUUAUAGGUGUACAAUUUUGGGUGGAAUUGAUAUAAUACAUAUGAUGAUACGAUAAUUAAGUUCAACUGAUAAAAAAAAGAUAAUGUAUAAUAAAAUCACACACAAACUUAAUUUAAUUCAAUAAUUGGAAUAAUAAACUAUGAUAAUUAUUUUGGUAGUUAGAGAAAAUUAGUGCUAAUUAUUUGUACAAUCUUCUAUGAAUUACAAAAUUUGCAAGAAGAGUGUUGUAGUUGGAGGAUUUGUUUAAAAAAUAAUAUGAUUGUUGGUAAUCUCACAUCUAGCAAGGAAUAUCAACCAUAUUUUAAAAUGGUACCAAUUAAGAGUCUAAUUUUAGGUGAAAUUGACAUAGUACAUACUAUGAUUAUAAUUCAAUUGAUAAAAAAUAAUACAUAAUAAUGUCGCACACAACUUAAGUUGAUUCAAUAAUGGUCAUUAUAAAAUAUUGUGGUAGUUAGAGAAAAUUAAUCCCAAUCAAGAAAAACAAAAAAGUUCAAUAAAAACAUCAAUGUUGCACAAAGAUGGUCAUAAUGCUCACAAAAUAAUGCCCUUGUGAAAUUAGUGCGCCUCAUCCUUUUAAAUACAAGCAGGGAGUAACAUCUACAAUUAUAAGAAAACUAGAAAAGUGAGAAAAUUAUUCAAUCUUGACUGAACAUCAAUGUCAUACACCAAAGAUUAAUUUUAAUGGACCAAUAGAACAUUGUAAGCGGAACCAAACAAAGAUAUGUCGGCAGGGUAAGAAAAUUGACACCUACAAUAAACAAAUUUAUUUGGAACCAACCAACCCAGUAAUCAUUCUACAAUUGUCAAUUUGUCAUCCGGGGCUUGCUUUUAUGGUGAGCUCUUGAGUCUUGAACAAUUGAUGAACAGAUUCACAUUUAGCCUGCUCCACAGUCCAUAGAAGUAGAACCCACCAAAAACUAUAAAGAAAUAUUAAAAAAAUAAAAGGCAUUUCAUUUUUAUAUACAAGCAUAUAAAGCAUUGGCCACUUUGACAAUCAAAGCUGGUUAAAAAAAAUGGACUGAAAAACAAAAAAGAAAGCAACACGCCCACCGUGGGGCUCGAACCCACGACCACAAGGUUAAGAGCCUUGCGCUCUACCGACUGAGCUAGACGGGCUCGGACGCUAAUCGUCGUUUUGUUUCUGUAUUAUAUAAGUAUUAAGGUCAACCCAACAGAUCAUAAGAGCCUAGUCUUGAAAAUACGUAGCCCCGCAACAGACGAGAAGAUAAAAGGAGAAGGUACACAUCAAUUCAAUCAGAGUUGUUGACCUACUUUGAUCGUUGAAAAUGUAUAAUAAAUAGAAAAUAUAAAAUUUUCAUAUGUUUGAAUAGAUUCAACGAGAAGUAAAACACGAAAAAUAAGACGUAUUUUAUACAUUUAGAUCCCCUAGAGAUAUAUUAUUGAUUAAGUUUCCGAUAGGAUGAGAUUUUAAUAUGAACUUUUGUACUACAUGUAUGAAUCAAAUGUCACAACGUAUAAGUGUGUGGAUUUACGCCUCUAUAAUUUGGAUAUUAAUCUUUUUGAUAUCUUUAGUGGUACGAUGACAAAAGAGUUUUCUUAUAUGAUUAGUUUACCAGUUCAUUUUCAUCAAGCAAGAGUGCUACAGCGCAAGUUAUUUUGUUAACUUGGGAAACAUCUGUCUCCACUUUUUGUGGUCUCGGCUUUCAUGUUCUAAGCAUCUUCACAGCCUAGGACAAGAGAAAUUACCUCUUCGGUUUUCCGUCGUCGUUAAUAUGGUAGUACUUCAUUUGGGUAUCUGUCUAUCUGAUAAUUUUACAUUUUCAAUUUUCAUUUGUGUAUGUAUAGUAAUGUGAUAGAAAAUACUUUACUUGCAUAUAUAGCAAAUGACGAAUCUAAUUCAGUUCCAAGUCUUAGAUGUUUCUCGACUCCACCGAGUUUUGGGCUUGUCUAUGAAGGCCCAUAUCAAUUUCGACGCGUAACACAGCCUGGGUCUGGGUCGCUGGUUUGAAGGAGAGAUUUGCACAUGAUAAUUAGAAGACUGGUUGAGAAGUGACCCAUGGAAGCUUUUUAAAAUUUCAAUUCUAAACUUUGAACAACCUCAAAAAAUUUUAUUACUCAUCCUCUUGUCAUUGUAUUUUUAAUUACAUAUUUAUUAACAUACCUUCGCGUAAUCGCGUUACCUAUAAAAAAAAAAAAAAAAU
rnacentral:lncRNA from 1 species